GGGAAUUUGAUGGGGAAUUUGAUGGGUGAUAAUGUGUUUCUUCAGAACUCAAUCACUGAUCCCAUAGAAUACUUAUCAUCACAGUUUCCUGGUUUUGCCGUUCAGAGCCUUUUAGAUGUUUAUUAUGCAAAUGGAUGUGAUUUGACCUUGACCAUUGAGAUUCUGACUCAGCUUGAGGUGUGUGUGCAUCCAUCCAGACUUCUGUUCUUUUAAAUAAAUUAUCAAAAAUUGGUGCCUGAUUAGGAUAUGUAUCUUGGAUUAUAAGAAAUCAGAACUUGGAUCCAUCUUUAUAUUACCAUUUAGUUGAUAAUUCACAAGGCAACAAUCACAGAUAUGAAUUCGUCAGGAUUUUGAUGUCUAGGAUCUCCUCGAAUGAUUUAUAGUUAGCUGUUCUGUUCAAUUCUUAAAAUAAUGUGUUUUACCAUCUGUGCCUAAAUCAGUCAGCUAGCUAGUUGACAAUGCACCACGUCAUCGGAAUUCAAGUUUACAAGUGUAGCUAUGGAUAUUACUCUAACUCAAUAUAUAUUUUAAAUUGACUCAAAAGUCCAGAAAGCAUAAUAUGAAAACCAGAAUUUAUUCCAUUUUCUACAUUGAAAUAUAUUCAGAUUGCUUCGCUGUAUUAUCUGAAGUAUAAACCUGAUCAUUAGAAAAUGUAUUUGUCAAUAUACUUGUGAGUAGUAUCAUGUUCUAGGAUAUAUUAAAUAGAAACAGAAAGCAGAAGAAAAUCACUUUGGAAGCUUCUAAGCACCAUGGGAACUAUUAUAUAUCUUUUAUUUCACUAGAUGGAUCUCUUGGUCUUUAAACAAAUGAGAAAUUGUGGUUCUUCGUCUGUCCCUUUUAACAAAGUAAUCAAAUAUAAAUCUUUCAUAAUAGAAUAUGGGAAAUUUGUAUAUAUACACCGUUUUAAAUGCUUUUAGGAAGCAGUAUUAUCUCAAGUGUAAGUGGAUUGAUAUCCAGAGAGAUGCCUAUAUUUUUAAAAUGUUAAUGUAGGUAACAUCUGUCUAUUGAUCUUUCUAGGUGACUUGUAUGUGACUACCUUUGUUUUCUUGUGUUAUUUGCUGACCAUAAUGGAAUAAGGUGCUGUAUUUGUUAAUGAUAGUGCUUUCAUUGUUGUUUGCUUUGCUUUUAAAGAUUUUACCAUGCAAUACUACUAGAGUUUUGCUGAUGAAUUUGUUUGAAAUAAUAAAACCAUCUUGGCUGAUGCUACGUCUUUAAGUUAUAUAUCACUUGGCAUAAUGACUUGUUUGAGGGUUGAUAUUCAAUUUUUUGUAUUGCAGCUUCAAGUUGAUGCUGGCUCUGACCAAAACCUUAGCACAAAUUCCUUGUCUGCUCCAAACUUUAGCCCGAUGGACUUUCCAGCUCUUCCAUUAGCAGACACUCAAAAUCAGUUGUCAAAGUAUACUGGAGAAGAUGUUCAACAUGGUUUUAAUAUGCACAAAUCUUCUUCUGG
rnacentral:lncRNA from 1 species